rnacentral:lncRNA from 1 species
UUUUGAGAUAUUCCUGAGUGCAUCGACACAAUCUCUCUCUCUCUCACACACACACACACACACACACACACACACACACACACACACACACACACACACACACACACACACACACACACACACACACACACACACACACACACACACACACACACACACACACACACACACACACACACACACUUUCCAGUAUCUCUAUUGUUGUGAACUUUACCUCAUUGCUAUUUAUUUUACUGUCAUCCUGGCUGUUGUGUGAGACUGUGGAAGACUCCGUACAUGAGACAGGCCUGUUGUUUCCAUUGGAGGAUGAACAUACUGCAGGCUGAUGCUGAUGUUCUUAUUGUUUCUGCUGUAGGAACUCCACAGUCCUGGGAGGACAUGAGUCAGUACUGACUGUAUCACAGAGGACCAGAGAGGAUGGAGCUUGUCAUUGACCUGCUUUUAAUAAUCUAGUUAGUCUAAUGUAGGAUCUAUCCGUGGUCAUCAAAUAGGAUCAUUGUGAUCUAAAAAACUGUAAUAUAAGAUAUUGCAGGGGGAUUAGAAUGUUUUGGACAUAAUAGUGAAUGUAUUACAUGUUUAAUAGAUAAUACUAGUUGUGAGAGAAAUGUAAAUCAUUUUAAGUUGAACUAUGAGGUAGCCCACUGAGAGUAGUUAUUUUUGGAUCGUGGUUAGGAGAAUAAUCUUAACACAGUUAUACAUCUUCUUAUACUUUCUAUCUUUCUUGCUUUCAAGCUGUUUUUCUUGCGACUUCACUUUUUUCUUUUCUUUUUAGUCUUUUUUUCUCCUUGUGGCUGUGGAGACAUGGAAUGAAGUGUGCUUUGCUGAGUCCAUAAAGAGGCGUUUUAAAAAGCUGUGUUAACAGACGAACAAUGGUUAAAUGAGCCCCCCUCGGUGAGGGGCUGGUACCCAUGGGGACUCAGCAUGGCACUCUAUUGGCCCAGCUCUCCCCAGUCCCCCAUUCACCACUCAGUCAUGGUCACUUAUGGUGGAGGGAAAAUCACACGAUUCAUGCGAGGCGUGAUCCAAUGACAUUUUAAUGAGCCCCUACUUUUUGGUUGGGCCAGACUGGACGGACUGGAUGGACACAACUUCAGGUUUCCCCAAGUUUCUGUCAGUCAGGUCAAACCAAACUCUUUCACUCUCUAUCUCUCUCUCUCUGUCUCCAUCCCUCUACCCCUCUCUUUCCUCUCUCCCUCUCCCCUCCUCUCAGGCCUUUUGGCCCACCAGGACCAGAGACAAAGCUCCCACAGCCCAGUUGCAGUCUUUAUGUUGCUCCUGCUGGUAGUUACCAUGACGAUGUCAUCAGAGAACCACCCUUUCUGCUGCCACAAUAGACUUUUUCUUUGUGAGAGUGUUUACAAUGAACAUUUUUAUAUGCAUAAAAAAUGAUGUAACGUUUGAUCUAAACUGAAUUUUGAUACUUGUGGGAUUCAAUAUAUUUACUGAUCAACAUUUUCAAAGGAGACAACUUAUAUAGUAUCUGUGAUUAUGUGCCAGUCUCAUUUUUCAUUAUGACAGAACAAUCUCUUUCUGAGACAUUACAUCAUGUAUCACACUCAUGUGUCCUAUGGUGUGUGUCAGUGUGUCAGUGUUGUCAGUGUGUCAGUGUGUCAGUGUUGUCAGUGUGUCAGUGUGUCAGUGUUGUCAGUGUUGUCAGUGUGUCAGUGUGUCAGUGUGUCAGUGUUGUCAGUGUUGUCAGUGUGUCAGUGUGUCAGUGUGUCAGUGUGUCAGUGUGUCAGUGUUGUCAGUGUGUCAGUGUGUCAGUGUUGUCAGUGUUGUCAGUGUGUCAGUGUGUCAGUUGUGUCAGUGUGUCAGUGUUGUCAGUGUGUCAGUGUUGUCAGUGUGUCAGUGUUGUCAGUGUUGUCAGUGUGUCAGUGUGUCAGUGUGUCAGUGUUGUCAGUGUGUCAGUGUUGUCAGUGUUGUCAGUGUUGUCAGUGUGUCAGUGUUGUCAGUGUGUCAGUGUUGUCAGUUGUGUCAGUGUUGUCAGUGUGUCAGUGUUGUCAGUGUGUCAGUGUGUCAGUGUUGUCAGUGUGUCAGUGUUGUCAGUGUGUCAGUGUGUCAGUGUGUCAGUGUUGUCAGUGUGUCAGUGUUGUCAGUGUGUCAGUGUGUCAGUGUGUCAGUGGGUCAGUGUUGUCAGUGUGUCAGUGUGUCAGUGUUGUCAGUGUGUCAGUGUGUCAGUGUGUCAGUGUUGUCAGUGUGUCAGUGUGUCAGUGUUGUCAGUGUGUCAGUGUUGUCAGUGUGUCAGUGUUGUCAGUGUGUCAGUAUAUCAGUGUUGUCAGUGUUGUCAGUGUUGUCAGUGUGUCAGUGUGUCAGUGUUGUCAGUGUGUCAGUGUUGUCAGUAUAUCAGUGUUGUCAGUGUGUCAGUGUUGUCAGUAUAUCAGUGUUGUCAGUGUUGUCAGUGUUGUCAGUGUUGUCAGUGUGUCAGUGUUGUCUGUGUGAUAUGUCUAUGGCUAAGAACUGUCAUUAAACUGUCUGACCACAUCACCACACUCAACCAUCAUCUGGCCGUCCACACACUGCAACCACCAGGCUCAUACCACAGGUCCUGGGCCAACAGCCCAGCAGCACACACAAACAUCCAGCAUAUACCAAUCUCCCUCUGCAGAGCCUCCCCACUGAGCUGCCUGUCUUUCUCUCGAUGCACCCUGCUUCUCAUGAGCCUCACUACUAGCUGACAUUGGUGGCUGUGGUGGGGAUGCAGAAUUAGUAUGCAGCAGAGCAGACAGGCCUUCUGUUCUAAUGGGGAGUCCAGAGCAGAGCAGAGUAGAGCGGAGUAGAGCAGAGUAGAAUAGAACAGAGCAAAGCAUAGCAGACGGAGCAUCAGUCUACCGGGGGAUUGAACAGCACCUUCCCUCCUCUCAUCCCCUCUCAGCCCCGGCCUGUCCCGAACCUUAAUGGGACAUCAGACAGACAGACAGAGAGACAGGCAGACAGAGAGACAGACAGACAGAGAGACAGGCAGACAGGCGUCAUUGAGCACAGAGCCCAGCCACCCCACCCC